rnacentral:rRNA from 1 species
AUUGAACGCUGGCGGCAGGCCUAACACAUGCAAGUCGAACGAGUGGCGGACGGGUGAGUAAUGUCUGGGAAACUGCCCGGUGGAGGGGGAUAACUACUGGAAACGGUCGCUAAUACCGCAUACCAUCGGAUGUGCCGAGAUGGGAUUAGCUAGUUGGUGGGGUAAAGGCUCACCUAGGCGACGAUCCCUAGCUGGUCUGAGAGGAUGACCAGCCACACUGGAACUGAGACACGGUCCAGACUCCUACGGGAGGCAGCAGUGGGGAAUAUUGCACAAUGGGCGCAAGCCUGAUGCAGCCAUGCCGCGUGUAUGAAGAAGGCCUUCGGGUUGUAAAGUACUUUCAGCGGGGAGGCGGUACUCGCAGAAGAAGCACCGGCUAACUCCGUGCCAGCAGCCGCGGUAAUAC